UGACAAUAGUGUGUAUAGGAUGUAUAGAC
rnacentral:piRNA from 1 species